rnacentral:rRNA from 1 species
UCGGGAAUUUUGGGCAAUGGGCGAAAGCCUGACCCCGCAACGCCGCGUGAAGGAUGAAGUCUCUCGGGAUGUAAACUUCGUAAGAAUAGGAAGAAUAAAUGACGGUACUAUUUAUAAGGUCCGGCUAACUACGUGCCAGCAGCCGCGGUAAUACGUAGGGACCAAGCGUUGUUCGGAUUUACUGGGCGUAAAGGGCGCGUAGGCGGCAUGACAAGUCACCUGUGAAAUCUCUGGGCUUAACCCAGAACGGCCAAGUGAUACUGUCGCGCUAGAGUGCAGAAGGGGCAAUCGGAAUUCUUGGUGUAGCGGUGAAAUGCGUAGAUAUCAAGAGGAACACCUGAGGUGAAGACGGGUUGCUGGGCUGACACUGACGCUGAGGCGCGAAAGCCAGGGGAGCAAACGGGAUUAGAUACCCUGGUAGUCCCUGAGCGGGCUGGCAAGGCGCAU